AAGUUACUUGUAAAUGUAGGCUCACUAAAAUUUCUGCAGCUGUCAUAGUAUCUUCAUGGUCGGCUUGAUAUCUUCAAUUUUAUAUGC